GAUGAACGCUAGCUACAGGCUUAACACAUGCAAGUCGAGGGACCGGCGCACGGGUGAGUCACACGUAUCCAACCUGCCCUUUACUCGGGGACAGCCUUUCGAAAGAAAGAUUAAUACCCGAUGUAAAGGAUGGGGAUGCGUUCCACUAGGUUGUUGGUGAGGUAACGGCCCAACAAGCCUUCGAUGGAUAGGGGUUCUGGGAGGAAGGGCCCCCACAAUGGAACUGAGGCACGGUCCAAACUGCUACGGGAGGCAGCAGUAAGGAAUAGUGGUCAAUGGGCGUUAGCCUGAACCAGCCAAGUAGCGGGAAGGAUGAAGGGUUAUGGGUCGUAAACUUCUUUUAUAUAAGAAUAGGUAUUAUAUGAAGAAGGAUCGGCUAACUCCGUGCCAGCAGCCGCGGUAAUAC
rnacentral:rRNA from 1 species